rnacentral:lncRNA from 10 species
CCUGCACCCAGGUGAAAUAAACAGCCAUGUUGCUCACACAAAGCCUGUUUGGUGGUCUCUUCACACGGACGCUCAUGAAAUUUGGUGAUGUGACUCGGAUAGGGGGACCUCCCUUGGGAGAUCAGUACCCUGUCCUCCUGCUCUUUGCUCCGUGAGAAAGAUCCACCUACAACCUCAGGUCCUUAGACCAACCAGCCCAAGAAACAUCUCACCAAUUUCAAAUCCAGACCCCACUGGAAAUCGGACUGUCCAACUCACCUGACAGCCACUCCCACAGCCGCUGGAACUCUGGCCCAAGGCUCUCUGACUCCUUCCCAGAUCUUCUUGGCUUAGCGGCUGAAGACUGACGCUGCCCGAUCGCCUCGGAAGCCCCCUAGACCAUCACGGACGCCGAGCUUCGGGUAACUCUCACAGUGGAAGAAACACAACUACAGAUUUCUACCUGGUGCAUGGCCAUCGCUCAUGAAGACUACAACUUCCAGCUUCCUUUGAAGAAAAAGAGGACUUGAUGGCAUUGUCGCUAAGUAAGAAAUAAUGUGUGUGACUUCAGGGUUGCCCCCUUAAAGGGAGGGGACAUUUUCCAUCCUGCUGUUCAGAGUAUGGAUGUGAUGAGAGACAUCUUGGAUGAUGCAGAGGAGGUGAACACCCCAGGACAAUGAAACCACAGGAGAGAAAGAGCCUGCGCUGGCCCAUCUAGCACAGCCACUGGACACAGGGACCACCUGCCUCUGCACUCUUAUGGAAGGAGGAAAUCUAACUUUCCCAGUUUAAGGCACUGUUACUUUGGGCUCCUGUUACAUAACUGUGGCAGAAUGAAGGUUCAACAUGGAAACUGGCAAUGUUGAAGAAACAUAAAGUUCAUUGCUUGAAUAUCUGAAGUUGUGGACUCAAUCUCAUACCUGCUCCACUUAUGAGUUAUAGGUGAGUAGUGUGCUCACUAAACUUCAGCUGCACACUCAACAGCAUUAGCCAAGAGGGAAAUGCAAAUCAAAAACACAAUAAGAUGCCAGUUCCCACCCAGUUGAAUGGUUAUAACUUUUUUAAAAAGAAAAAAAAUAAGUGUAAAUGAGAAUGUGGGUAAAGCAGAAUACUCAUGCACCACUGGUGGGAAUGUGAAAUGGUGCAGCCCCUUUGGAA